rnacentral:RNase_P_RNA from 1 species
UGAGUUGGUCGGAUAGUUACUCUUGGCGAGCGUAAGCACUCCGAGAGAGGAAAGUCCGGGCACUGCAGAACAGGAUGCCUCAUAAUGAGAGGAGAUUCGCAUUUGCGAACCAUGGAAAGUGCAGCAGAAAGUAAACCGCCUUCGAUGAGCAUAAGGCUUGCCUUGUAUUUGUCAUAGGUAAGGGUGAAAGGGUGGUGUAAGAGACCACCAGAUUCUGAAUAAAUUCAGUAUGCUUGUAAACCCCAUCCAGUGCAAGAUCGAAUAGGCUUCGAGAUGUUGUUCGCAUCGUUAAAGGAGCGGGUAGAUUGCUUGAUCACAAUGGUAACGUUGUGGCUAGACGAAUGACUAUCCCUUUGUAUUGGAAUUAUUAAUCCAAAGGACAGAACUCGGCUUAUAGACCAACUCAAAUU